rnacentral:rRNA from 1 species
GUGGGGAAUAUUGGACAAUGGGCGAAAGCCUGAUCCAGCCAUGCCGCGUGUGUGAAGAAGGUCUUCGGAUUGUAAAGCACUUUAAGUUGGGAGGAAGGGCAGUAAGUUAAUACCUUGCUGUUUUGACGUUACCGACAGAAUAAGCACCGGCUAACUUCGUGCCAGCAGCCGCGGUAAUACGAAGGGUGCAAGCGUUAAUCGGAAUUACUGGGCGUAAAGCGCGCGUAGGUGGUUUUGUAAGUUGGAGGUGAAAUCCACGGGCUCAACCUGGGAACUGCCUCCAAAACUGCAUGACUAGAGUACGAUAGAGGGUAGUGGAAUUUCCUGUGUAGCGGUGAAAUGCGUAGAUAUAGGAAGGAACACCAGUGGCGAAGGCGACUACCUGGACUGAUCCUGACACUGAGGUGCGAAAGCGUGGGGAGCAAACAGGAUUAGAUACCCGAGUAGUCC